rnacentral:lncRNA from 10 species
CCCCGCCCCUGCCCUCGUCUCCCGGGAGCCUGGGAAGGCGCGAGCUAUCCAGUCGGAGGGAGGGGGACGAGCGCGCGGGGCCGCGUCCUCGCUCGCGUCCCCGCUCCCUCCUCCCCUCUGCUUCUCCCUCCCCUCCACUCCCCCAUUGGCUUCUACCCCUCCCCCUUCUUCCUCCGCCUCUCCCACCAUUGGUUCCCUCCCCUACUCCAUUCCUUCUCACCUUUUCCCUUUUACCCAUUGGCGUGAGUAUUUUUCCUCAGCUUCCCUCUUUCUCCGUAUUCUGCUCCUCCUCAGUCCCAUCCUCCACGCUUUGGAAGCUACUGCCUUACUGCCCGGAGCGCCGUCGUCCCCGAACCUCCCCUGCUUCUCCCUUUCCUUCUGUUCCGGUUUCUGGUCGUAACUCAAGAGCAAACCACCGUACUGCAAAGGAACCAGAUAUUGUGCUCGCGGUUCCAAACCGGGCAUGGGCACCGAAUGCUUCUCGAUAAAUCCCCUUAUGGUCUCUGAGCAUUAAAGAAAGCAAGGGAGGAAAACAUGCGCCCAAGCUCGUUCGCAGGAACAUGUUCGCGUGUCUGCGCCUGUGUGCGCAGCCAGUUUUCUGGCUGAGGAUCGCUCGCCAACUACAGACAUCACCCGCCCAGGACCCGGUGCCACACUCACCCAGAAGACGAAACUCCACAGGAGCGAGAAGAGGAGUCCAUUUCUCCGUCGGCUCGGCACGGCACGGGGAUGCAGGCCCCUGAUUCAGUACGUUCUGUGAAAGUGGAGCGAGAAGCCAAGACGUGGAUCGAGAAGCCCCGUGGGGCGGGUCUCAGGGUGGCCCAAAAGACCCCUGUUCACGCCACUACCAGCCUAACUUUAGGAACUGUCGUCCACCUGGCUUUUAUUAUACUGCCUUAAACAUAUUCACUUUUUUGAGACUCUAGAAAUUUCACAAGUUUUGGGGUAGAGCACACUGGGCUUUGGGUGUGUUUCUCAUGAGGGCACUGACGCUGAAUGGUGCAGUGAGAAAGGACGGUAGAAACCACUGCCUUUGCUUUUACCAUUGAAGAAACUGAGGUCCUGUGACUUUCCCGAGGUCAUCGGAAUCUGCCUUGCACAGGAGACUUAAAAUAGUUGCCAGCAGAUAAAAGAAUGAGCAAAACCACAUCUACUCCAAUUUGUUAAGUCUGAAAGAAAGUAAUUGAGGGGGGAUUCCUCUUUGGGGAAAUAUUUAUUUCCUGCAUUGAAAAUAGUUUAAUGUUAGUAAACAUAUAAAAAGUAUUUUAAAUUCAAGUUAUUCUUUAUUUCUUAUGUUACAUAAGGUACUGAAGUUAGCCAAGGUUGCUUUUGUGUUAUAAUGAUGCAGCUGCUGCCAACCAGAAGUACAUUUACGGUCUGUCAGUAAAGAAAACAAAAACUGCCUGUUGGUAAAAAUCUAUUAGAAAAUAUUUGUCAGUAAAUUUGUCACAAUAUUCCAGCAGAAGUUCUGUUCGUUUUUCCGUCUUCCUGCCCUUCAUAUUUCUCAAAGGUAGACUUAAUAAAGGUAGAAGAGACAUUUCUAAUUUUUCUAUAUAUCUCUUGCUCCCUAAUUUCUAAAAGGCAUAACUAAAAUGCUUUAUUCGAGCCACUCCCUUGCAUCUGAACCCUACCUACCAAGUAGGUUAAGAGUAGGUUAGGUAAGGUCUGUAGCUACUUCUUUCUUUCAGUUACAAAUUGUAGGUGGGAAAGAAGGAUGCGGAAGGAAACUUGCAAGGAAAGCAAACAGAAAGAAAAAGAAGUAAAAAAGGAGAGAAGGGAAUUUGGUGGGUGGUCCAACCAUCAAAAUGUGGUACUAAUGCCAUAGGUAUCUACACCACUUAUGUAAGUUGGAAUGUUGAUGCAUUCCAACGCAUGUUUUUAUCUUUGUACUGAAAGCCCUUAAGAAUACCCGAAGUAAACAUAUAAAAAGUAUUUUAAGUUCAAGUUAUUCUUUAUUUCUUAUGUUACGUAAGGUACUGAAGUUAGCCAAGGUUGCUUUUUAGUGUUAUAAUGAUGCAGUUCAAAGUCAUAACCUGAAUAAGAUGUUAAGUACUAUAGAGUGUACACCCUAAAGAUACCUUAAAAAUUAUGUCCUAAAUAAUCAGAAAUUUUAAUAAUCAUGGACAUGUAUCAACAUAAACCAAAGCCAAAUAAAUCAGGGCUUCUAAAGAAAACGUUAAAAAGGUGUAAUGUUCAGUUAUAGGACAUGAUACUGGAGGCAGGGAAGACUUGAAAUCUCAUUUAUUUUCUUAUAAUGAAGACACCAGAAGACGUUAAAAAAAAAAAAAAGAUCACGAUUUCCAAACAAUGAUUUUCAUAGUCGACAUUAUUUUCAGUUCUUUAUCUUGAUUUAGGGAGCCUGGAAAUUUAGGACUUCGUUUCUUAUUAAUACUAAUAGUCUAAAGGUGUUUACCAGUACAAAUAAGUUAUUGUAUGUAAUUUGCUCUUCUCAAAAAAUAGAGUUUUCUGUAUCAAUAAAAAUCUGAAAUGGGGGCCACAAUUCUGUGGCUAAUAAUGCCUAUAUAUCCAUAAAUAAAAGGCAUCAAAGAGCAGGAGGAAAAAUAUGUAAGAUGGCAUCUUUAAAAAUUGAUCAGGAGCCAAGACUUCAGAGAAAAAGCUUUAAAACACCCACCCUCCCUACUCAAAAGGAUAAUUUUUAAGAAAAUAGGUAACUUAUUUACACACACACACAUGCGCGCGCACAAAUAUCGGACAGAAAUGGAAAUGGAAUAAAUAUUAACAAGCCCUCUCAAAUCAACUACUCUUCUUAUCUAGAAUAAAAAAGUUAAGCCUCUCUUCUGCUGUACUGGAUAAUUAAAAUAACUGGACUCUUUGUUCCUCGUUUACUUUGAAAAAAUUAGAAUAAGAUUUGUCAGGCAUUUUCGGUUUUUAAUUUAAAUUUUCUUCAUAAAUCUCUAGUUCUUCAUCACAUCCUAAUAAAGUAUUAAUAUGCAUGGUCUUUUUGAGAUCAAAAGACAUGACAGUCAUAAAAAAAGUUAUCAUAAUUCCAGCUUCUACCAUUAGUGGUAAUACUGCAAUAUUCAAAUGUUUCAUAUGUUGUGGCUUCAAAAGAACUUACCCUAUAGAGGCAGC